rnacentral:rRNA from 1 species
GACGAACGCUGGCGGCGUGCCUAAUACAUGCAAGUCGAACGCUGAAGGAGGAGCUUGCUUCUCUGGAUGAGUUGCGAACGGGUGAGUAACGCGUAGGUAACCUGCCUGGUAGCGGGGGAUAACUAUUGGAAACGAUAGCUAAUACCGCAUAAGAGUAGAUGUCGCAUGACAUUUGCUUAAAAGGUGCAAUUGCAUCACUACCAGAUGGACCUGCGUUGUAUUAGCUAGUUGGUGAGGUAACGGCUCACCAAGGCAACGAUACAUAGCCGACCUGAGAGGGUGAUCGGCCACACUGGGACUGAGACACGGCCCAGACUCCUACGGGAGGCAGCAGUAGGGAAUCUUCGGCAAUGGACGGAAGUCUGACCGAGCAACGCCGCGUGAGUGAAGAAGGGUUUCGGAUCGUAAAGCUCGGUUGUAAGAGAAGAACGAGUGUGAGAGUGGAAAGUUCACACUGUGACGGUAGCUUACCAGAAAGGGACGGCUAACUACGUG